CUCCUGGAAUUGCUUGAACCGCUUAGUUUGAGUUAGAAAUUUCCUUCUUUCAAGGUCGGCUCAUUUCUCCCACCACUCCUAAACCCUAACCCUAACGAUGGGAAAGCCACGAGUGACAUCGACGAAGGGCCGGAAAAACAAUCGAAGUGAUAAUAAUAUCGAGAAGGUAAAAAGCAUUCAAGCGGGGUUGAAAAGGAAGAAGCAGCAGCAGAAUCUAUCUAACCCACCGGAACCGGAAGACAAUGACCCCAGCGACCACAGCGCCGGAAGUGAUCCCAGCGACCUCAGCGCCGGCAGUGACCCCAGCGACCAGAGCGAAGAGGAGGAAGAAAAGCCCACUCCCGAGGAUAUCCAGCGCCUUCUUGAGCCGUACACGAAGGAACAGCUCAUCACCUUACUCGCCAACUCCGCUGCCGACGAUCCCAGCCUCCUCUCCCACAUCCGGUCAGUAGCCGAACAUGACAUCGCCCACCGCAACAUAUUCGUCCAUCGCUUUGGCUAUGACGUUACUUCAGAAACCCUGCACGAGGUCUUCCGCCAUUACGGCCCUCUCGUUGACUGCCAUGUCAUAUUUGACAACGCUACCGGUCGCAACAAGGGUUAUGGGUUCGUCGUCUUUUCCACUCGCAGUGGCGCUGUUAAGGCUCUCAAACAGCCCGAGAAGAAGAUUGGAGCUCGCAUGGCCUUAUGUCAGCUAGCCGCAAUUCGCCAUGAUUCACCUGCAAGCAGCUCCACAGAUUUGGCCCAGCGGAGGGUUUAUGUGAGCAAUGUCCCCGCUGACGCAUCCCACGACAAGCUCAAAGCUUACUUUGCUACUUUUGGAGAAAUAGAGAUUGGCCCUUCGGGUUCUGAUACGCUGACUGGAAAGUGGAAUGGUUUCGCUAUUUUCGUUUACAAGACACGGGAUGGGGCAAACAGGGCCCUGCAGGAGCCAUACAAGAACUUUGAGGGGCGUCAGCUGUAUUGUAAGCUAGUUGGUGAUCUUUCACAAAAGGGAAAAUUACCUGCUAAUCCCGUGCCACCUCAAAGCCUGCCUGUAGUCAAUCAGCAGCCAUCACUAAAUGCUGUGGCUGAAGCACAGAAUGCGGCUAUGCUCGGCCAUAAUCCAGCCUACAACAUGUUGGUUCAGAACCAACUUCUUACAAAUACAGCUUUGAAUCCAAAUUCCUUUGCUGCAUUGAAUCCUGCUGCCUUGGCCGCAUUUAAUCCCACUGCUAAUUUGGUUAUACCUCCGGGACAGGGUUAUGGGGCACACGGUUAUGGAGAACAGGGUCAUGGGAGUGUUGGAGUUGGCUUGGGAGGUUAUAACGUGUUUGAGAAUUUUAGGACACAAGAAAGUGCCGGUUUAUCUUAUAGAGGAUCUCAAUUGGGGCAAUCAUUUUCACUGACACCAGCAACUGGCUUUUUUAGGGGCUUCCCUCAGUAGUAUGUUUUACUCCAAGUUCUUUUUGUGGUCAUAAUUUUUGAGAAUCAGUUGCUUUGCCCACACGCUUUUUGUCCUGUAUGCGUUGAUGCAAAGCAUGAAGAAUAUUUUUGCACAAUCUUGAAGAAUAUCUCUCCAAAUGCUGAAAAAUUCCAUUUUUCCUCUUUUUUGGAGGAGUUAUGCAUGGAACUUGGAGGAAUUUCCAAAUUUCUUAAUUUCUUCUGCUACUUUGUGAACUCCCCUUCUUAUUUCUAUGGUGUCAUACACCUUUCUUUUUAUUCUGUAAUUUGCUAGUCUGGUUGUUUUUUCUUUUCUUUAUAAAAUUAUGUAUUAAAUGAUAUGUGAUCUUUAUGUUGCUUCCCAUGAUUUGAAUGAGGUGUAUUUACAUUCUCAUUGUUGACAAUUUUAAUGUUUUGGUUUUUCCCAUUC